rnacentral:tRNA from 1 species
GGGUCGUGGCUCAGUGGUAGAGCGCUUGUCUAGCAUGCAUGAGGCACUGGGUUCAAUCCUCAAUACACA